rnacentral:lncRNA from 1 species
AUGAUGCAACAACUCAGUUCAGUAAAGUUAAUUAUUAUUAUUAUUUCUGUCCUGUCUUUUUCAGUGUUUAUACCUGGACAUGCAUUACUUAACAGCACCUCAGUUCAGACGGUUCAUCGAGGAACAUCAGUCAAUAUCAGCUGUAACUACAAACCAUCAACUGACAUUGAUCGUCUCACAGUGGAACUGCAAACUGAUAAUAAACUGUGCUCAGUAACAAAAUUGAACAAUUCAUGGAUAAAUCAGCCAUGUAGAAAUCACUGUAGAUUCAUUUGGAUUCCAGAAACUGUGCAAAUGUCUUUUGAGGUAUCAGAUCUGCAAAUAAAUGAUACUGGCAUGUACAAAUGUAUUGUGACAAGAACUAUACCACCUCCUUCUGUGCUUUUGAGAGAAGAAAGAACAUUUGUUCAAGUGUUUGCUCACCCCAUUUUGUCUGUGUCACAUGUAGUGUUUCAUAUAGCUCACCCCAUUUUGUCUGUGUCACAUGUAAGAGCACUGGGUGGAUUUCACACGAUCCUGUGCAGCUCUGAGGGGUUUUACCCUUCUGCUCUAGAGCAGCUGUGGAUGAGAAAUGGAGAAUUUCAGAACGCCUCGCUCACAUACAGCAUUAACAAAACCAACCCAGAUGGAUCAUUCACCCUCCAUUCAUACCUGAAUAUAUCUGACUGUGUAAACUACUCAUGCUGGGUAAACCACUCAUCCCUGAGCCAACCAACAAUACUCCACAUGUCUCCUGAUUGUUACGGGAGCAGGGAUAAAAAUGUAUGGAUAGCUCUGGCGACCUCUGCGCUGCUGAUUCUCACCAUACUGAUUAUCACGGCUGUGUGUGAGCAUUCCAGUGAGUUUAACAUUUGA